GUCCGAACCCACGCACGUUGAAAAGUGCGGGGAUGAGGUGUGGGUAGCGGAGAAAUUCCAAUCGAACUUGGAGAUAGCUGGUUCUCUCCGAAAUAGCUUUAGGGCUAGCCUCGAGGUAAAGAGUCAUGGAGGUAGAGCACUGUUUGGACUAGGGGCCCUUCUCGGGUUACCGAAUUCAGAUAAACUCCGAAUGCCAUGUACUUAUACUCGGGAGUCAGACUGCGAGUGAUAAGAUCCGUAGUCGAAAGGGAAACAGCCCAGACCACCAGUUAAGGUCCCCAAAUAUAUGUUAAGUGGAAAAGGAUGUGGGGUUGCUUAGACAACCAGGAUGUUGGCUUAGAAGCAGCCACCAUUGAAAGAGUGCGUAAUAGCUCACUGGUCGAGUGACCCCGCGCCGAAAAUGUACCGGGGCUAAACAUAUUACCGAAACUGUGGAUGAACCUCUUUAGAGGUUCGUGGUAGGAGAGCGUUCUAAGGGCGGUGAAGUCAGACCGGAAGGACUGGUGGAGCGCUUAGAAGUGAGAAUGCCGGUAUGAGUAGCGAAAGAAGGGUGAGAAUCCCUUCCACCGAAUAUCUAAGGUUUCCUGAGGAAGGCUCGUCCGCUCAGGGUUAGUCGGGACCUAAGCCGAGGCCGAUAGGCGUAGGCGAUGGACAACAGGUAGAGAUUCCUGUACCAGUGCUAAUUGUUUAACCGAUGGGGUGACACAGAAGGAUAGGGAAUCGCACGAAUGGAAAUGUGCGUCCAAGCAGUGAGUGUGAG
rnacentral:rRNA from 1 species